rnacentral:rRNA from 1 species
CGGACGGGUGAGUAACGCGUGGAAAACCUGCCGUAUACUGGGGGAUAACACUUAGAAAUAGGUGGCUAAUACCGCAUAAGCGCACAGCUUCGCGAUGAAGCGGUGUGAAAAACCUCUGGUGGUAUACGAUGGUUCCGCGUCUGAUUAGCUAGUUGGUGGGGGUAAUGGGCCUACCAAGGCAACGAUCAGUAGCCGGCCUGAGAGGGUGAACGGCCACAUUGGGACUGAGACACGGCCCAAACUCCUACGGAAGGCAGCAG